GCAAACUUGGUCAUUUAGAGGAAGUAAAAGUCGUAACAAGGUCUCCGUUGGUGAACCAGCGGAGGGAUCAUUACAGAGUCGUAAAACACUCCCAAACCCAUGUGAACUUACCUUUGUUGCCUCGGCAGGACCUACCCGGUAGUUACCCUGUAGCUACCCUGUAGCCUGCCGGUGGACUUUCAAACUCUUGUUAUUUUAUGGAAAUCUGAGCGUCUUAUUUAAUAAGUCAAAACUUUCAACAACGGAUCUCUUGGUUCUGGCAUCGAUGAAGAACGCAGC
rnacentral:misc_RNA from 1 species